rnacentral:lncRNA from 1 species
GACUGAACUCAGCAGAGAGUGAUUGAUUGACUAAGAUCCUUAUUAGUUCCCAGCAGGUGGGUUCUCACGGAGAAAACCCAUGCUGGUCAUCAGCACUCAGAGGCCAAAUUGCAAGUUCUCUGCUGGGUGACCAGAGAACAUGAGCCAGGGCAACUGGAUGUUCUUUCAGAGAAUUACUUUCCAGCUCCAGUUGCUUGAUGAAUUACCUUUCUCCACUGGAGGGAUAUUUUAGUCUGAAAAAUCAGGACAGGUCAUCUGAAGUCAGAUCACGCUCUCUUCAGGCAGUGAUAGAGGAAAUCUUUCAAAGUCUUAGUCUCCUGUGUUCCUUUCUCAAUAUUCCUUAUCCAUUGCCUUAUCUUCCAAAAGCCAUUGCCAUUAUGUGAUCUCAUGUUACAACUUCCCAGAUUACCACUUGUUCUACAUUAGCUACAUUUGUGACAGAGACUUCCCAGAAUACGGGCAAGGAGAACCAUCUUCCAAUCACAAUGACUUAUGGCUUACGGCUCCAAGCCAUCAUGUUUUCAUUCUUGUAGCUUCAGUUUCCCAGAAUGGCAUUGCUUAACCUUGUUCUCCAAAGGAGGCAGCUAGAAGGUAAUGGAAAGAGACCGGACACCAAAACUGGAAGAACUGGAGGAGCUGAUCAUCCCUAUCUCCGAGUCACUUCCGCAACCUAUACAAUCCACCAUUGUGCUGAAGGGAGCCUGGGCUCCCCCUCCUAUUUCACACCCUCUCUGCCCUGCUGGACAAUAAGCGAAACCAAAGUAGCAACCAUGCUCUGAUCAUCAGUGAUCUCCACACCCAGCACAGCCCUAGCCCAUAUCAGAGGCUUCAUUAUUGAGUGAAUGAAUGAAGCAAUGAAGGAAGAGGAGGAAAGAAAUACUCAGUGAAUUCUACGUCAACUGAAGUCAACUCCUGCAGAACCCAACCAAGGACACCAAGAGAAAAGAGAUCAGAAGCAGGGUACAGGAAUUCCCAUCGUGGCUCAGUGGUUAAUGAACCCAACUAGUAUCCAUGAGGAUGUGGGUUCGAUCCCUGGCCUCAAUCAGUUGGUUAAGGAUCCGGCGUUGCUGUGAGCUGUAGUGUAGAUCACAGGCUCAGAUCAGAUCCCUCGUUGAUGUGGCUGUGGUGUAGGCCUGCAGCUACAGCUCCAAUUUGACCCCUAGCCUGGGAUACAUGCCUCCAGUGUGGCCCUAAAAAGACAGAGAAAAAAAAAAAGGCAAAUAAUGUGUCAGUACCGAGCCUCAUGAAAGUGUUUCAGAGAAAUCCCCACCCCACACCCAGGGUUUCUGGAACCACACUUUGAGAACUGCUGAAUUAAGAUAUAGAUCAUGUGGGAGUUCCUGCUGUGGCACAGUGGGUUAAGAA